AGCAGCCGCGGUAAUUCCAGCUCCAAUAGCGUAUAUUAAAGUUGUUGCAGUUAAAAAGCUCGUAGUUGAAUUUCGGGGUUCUACCGUCGGUCGGGCUAACAAGUCUGUACUGGUGUGUAGAAUUUCUACCUUCUGGGGAACUAUCAUGUUAUUAAUUUAGCGUGGUGGGAAACCAGGACCUUUACCUUGAAAAAAUUAGAGUGUUCAAAGACAGGCUUACGUCUGAAUACAUUAGCAUGGAAUAAUAGAAUAGG
rnacentral:rRNA from 1 species